AUUGUUGGUUAGCGCUUAUAUAUGAUACAUGCCCCAUUUUACAAGCACAGUUUGAACUUUUUUAUUUUAUAUUUUAAUAAUUAAUUAAAAUGUGCAUUAAUUUAUUUAAAUAAAUAUAAUUUUAUAAUAUUUAAAAAUAAUAUAGAAUACUAUAAUAUUUAUUUUACUUUUUAUUGUAUGUACUAUGAAAAAAUAGUAAUUAAGUAUUUAUAAUU
rnacentral:lncRNA from 1 species